rnacentral:rRNA from 1 species
UACGGAGGGUGCAAGCGUUAUCCGGAUUCACUGGGUUUAAAGGGUGCGUAGGUGGGUUGGUAAGUCAGUGGUGAAAUCUCCGAGCUUAACUCGGAAACUGCCAUUGAUACUAUUAAUCUUGAAUAUUGUGGAGGUCAGCGGAAUAUGUCAUGUAGCGGUGAAAUGCUUAGAGAUGACAUAGAACACCAAUUGCGAAGGCAGCUGGCUGCACAUAUAUUGACACUGAGGCACGAAAGCGUGGGGAGCAAACAGG